GACGAACGCUGGCGGCGUGCUUAACACAUGCAAGUCGAACGGAAAGGCCCUGCUUGCAGGGUACUCGAGUGGCGAACGGGUGAGUAACACGUGGGUGAUCUGCCCUGCACUUCGGGAUAAGCCUGGGAAACUGGGUCUAAUACCGGAUAGGAGCCAUUUUUAGUGUGAUGGUUGGAAAGUUUUUUCGGUGUAGGGUGAGCUCGCGGCCUAUCAGCUUGUUGGUGGGGUAAUGGCCUACCAAGGCGGCGACGGGUAGCCGGCCUGAGAGGGUGGACGGCCACAUUGGGACUGAGAGACGGCCCAGACUCCUACGGGAGGCAGCAGUGGGGAAUAUUGCACAAUGGGCGCAAGCCUGAUGCAGCGACGCCGCGUGGGGGAUGACGGCCUUCGGGUUGGAAACUCCUUUCGCUAGGGACGAAGCUUUUUGUGACGGUACCUAGAUAAGAAGCACCGGCUAACUACGUG
rnacentral:rRNA from 1 species